UCAUAUGGAUGAGCAAAGAAAAUGGUAUCUUGAGAUGGAAUCAACAUUUGGUGAAGAUGCUGUGAA
rnacentral:pre_miRNA from 1 species